rnacentral:rRNA from 1 species
GACGAACGCUGGCGGCGUGCUUAACACAUGCAAGUCGAACGGAAAGGCCCUGCUUUUGUGGGGUGCUCGAGUGGCGAACGGGUGAGUAACACGUGAGUAACCUGCCCUUGACUUUGGGAUAACUUCAGGAAACUGGGGCUAAUACCGGAUAGGAGCUCCUGCUGCAUGGUGGGGGUUGGAAAGUUUCGGCGGUUGGGGAUGGACUCGCGGCUUAUCAGCUUGUUGGUGGGGUAGUGGCUUACCAAGGCUUUGACGGGUAGCCGGCCUGAGAGGGUGACCGGCCACAUUGGGACUGAGAUACGGCCCAGACUCCUACGGGAGGCAGCAGUGGGGAAUAUUGCACAAUGGGAGGAAGCCUGAUGCAGCAACGCCGCGUGCGGGAUGACGGCCUUCGGGUUGUAAACCGCUUUCGCCUGUGACGAAGCGUGAGUGACGGUAAUGGGUAAAGAAGCACCGGCUAACUACGCG